GACGAACGCUGGCGGCGUGCUUAACACAUGCAAGUCGAACGGAAAGGCCCUGCUUUUGUGGGGUGCUCGAGUGGCGAACGGGUGAGUUACACGUGAGUAACCUGCCCUUGACUUUGGGAUAACUUGAGGAAACUGGGGCUACUACCGGCUAGGUGCUCCUGCUGCAUGGUGGGGGUUGGAACGUUUCGGUGGUUGGGGAUUGACUGCGGGUUUGUGAGUUUGUUGGUGGGGGAGUGGCCUACCAAGGCAUUGACGGGUAGUCGGCCUGGGAGGUUGACCGGCCACAAGGCGACUGAGGUACGGCCCAGACUCGUACGUGAGGCAGCAGUGGAGAAUAUUGCACAAUGGUCGGAAGCCUGAGGCAGCAACGCCGCGUGCGGAAUGACGGCCAUCGGGUUGUAAACCGCAUUCGCCUGUUACGAAGCGUGAGUGACGUUAAUGGGUAAAGAAGCACCGGCUAACUACGUG
rnacentral:rRNA from 1 species